GGGAAUCGGAAGGCCUACAACACAGCGAAAGUCGGGGGGAGAUGGUUUCGGCCCAUCAAGAGGCCCACAGGGUGAUAGACGUCAUGGAAACCUGCCUCUAAGUGGGGGAUAACGGAAGGCGACCUUCGCAUAAUCCCCGCAGGGCCCCCGGGAAACCCGGGGAAAAGAUUGAUCACUGCGGAAGGGGCCCGCGUCGCAUUAGCUGAUUGGUGGGCUAACGGCCUACCAAGGGCGAUGACCCGUAGUUGCUGUGAGAGGAUGAUCACCCACCCCCUGGGAGUGAGACACGGCCCAGACUCGUACGGGAGGCAGCAGUGGGGAAUAUUGGACAAUGGGCGCAAGCGUGAUCCAGCAAUGCCAGGUGAGUGAUGAAGGCCUUAGGGUUGUAAAGAUCUUUAGCCGGGGACGAUGAUGACGGUACCCGCAGAAGAAGCCCCGGCUAACUUCGUG
rnacentral:rRNA from 1 species